rnacentral:misc_RNA from 1 species
CACGAAGGGUGCAAGCGUUGUUCGGAUUUACUGGGCGUAAAGGGCGCGCAGGCGGAUGGUCAAGUCAGAUGUGAAAUCUCGGGGCCCAACCCCGAAACUGCGUCUGAAACUGAUCGUCUAGAGUCUCGGAGAGGGAUGGGGAAUUUCCUGUGUAGGGGUAAAAUCCGUAGAGAUAGGAAGGAACACCAGAGGCGAAGGCGCCAUCCUGGACGAGAACUGACGCUGAGGCGCGAAAGCGUGGGGAGCAAACAGG